ACCUCGGAUCAGGUAGGAGUUACCCGCUGAACUUAAGCAUAUCAAUAAGCGGAGGAAAAGAAACCAACCGGGAUUGCCUCAGUAACGGCGAGUGAAGCGGCAAGAGCUCAAAUUUGAAAUCUGGCCCCUUUGGGGUCCGAGUUGUAAUUUGCAGAGGAUGCUUCGGGUGCGGUCCCCAUCUAAGUGCCCUGGAACGGGCCGUCAUAGAGGGUGAGAAUCCCGUCUGGGAUGGGCGGCCGCGCCCGUGUGAAGCUCCUUCGACGAGUCGAGUUGUUUGGGAAUGCAGCUCUAAGCGGGUGGUAAAUUUCAUCUAAAGCUAAAUACUGGCCGGAGACCGAUAGCGCACAAGUAGAGUGAUCGAAAGAUGAAAAGCACUUUGAAAAGAGAGUUAAACAGCACGUGAAAUUGUUGAAAGGGAAGCGUUGUCCACCAGACUCGCCCGGGGGGGUUCAGCCGGCACGUGUGCCGGUGUACUCCUCUCCGGGCGGGCCAGCAUCGGUUUGGGCGGCUGGUGAAAGGCCCCGGGAAUGUAACACCCCUCGGGGUGCCUUAUAGCCCGGGGUGCCAUACAGCCAGCCUGGACCGANGC
rnacentral:rRNA from 1 species